UCUACGUGUGUUUACGUAUGUUUACGUCAACCAGUCAAUAAGAGAUCCUGCUUCUCUUACGUCAUCCUCAGGGAGGGAUAGUAGGUACGUAGCCACAAGAUACGCGUUUGCCAACGAUACGCAUACGAUGAUUUACAGUACCAAUCUGUAUCUGAAAAAGACAUACGAAGGAAGAACGUUGGAAUUGUAAACAUGGUUAAGUGCCAAAUAUAUUCGAUCUUCGAAGAUGGAGCAAAUUCAUUGAUUGGAUGACAAGUGCAGAACAAGAGAAAUUCUUCCGCCAUUUUUUUUUUUCGUGUUCGAGUUUCCAUAGUAACCACAUCAGAUGAGCCCAUUAAUAAUUUUCUUGGAAAAUCACUAGGGUUAUCCCUACCUAUGUUGGAACAAACUUAACACAUUCAUAAUAACAAAACAAUUUAAUCCUACAAGUUAAAAUUCGAAGAGGAUGAGUUUUUUAAGUUAUUUGAAAAGGUUAGUUAAACCAAAAUAAAGUAGGUUACACAGUGCUUCAUCUCGAUUCGAGCAAUUAUUUCGGGCCAGGUGUUUUCAUGGAUUUCUGUAACAACUUCGUACAACACUGUUUUGCAUCGUGAUGUUAAAUAAUAUCAAAUGAUCCAACUACGUGCUCCCUACGUGUACAUUAAAAUGCAUUCUUUUUGCCACCUAAUUACAGUCCAAAAAUUACACAUAAUUACACACCAUUGGAAUUCGUAAGGAUGUCUGUUGCGAACAAAUUUCGCCUUACACGAAUAAUAUUGUAUAGAAAGUCAACAUGCAUGAGAAUUCUAUGAUAAUUCAACGUAACUCAAAAGAAAUGUUAUUUGAAUUAUCGGUUAAUAAUUUGAUAGUAAUAUAAUGUAACUCCCCAGAACGAUUACGGGUAUUUUAAAUUAAUUGAAUAAACCUACCUAAUUCUCGACAGAAUUAAGCUGCAAAGCAGCAAUGAGUACGCGAGGUCACACGACCUACCAUUUCGAUGACGAAUCGGUAAAAUUAUAAAUAAGCUACAACACUGUAUACGAGUCCGUGUACAUCAUAGUGGUAUUUGCCAGCAGCUGUAACAAAGCCGAAACUGAUGAAGAAUAAAACGUCAAUAGGAUUGUAAUUAUUUGAAAAGACAAUCUUUUAAAAUCAUACAAGUCAAAUGGAAAAACAAAAAAACAAUUUAUUCAACAUUCUUAGAAUAAAAAUUAGUAAUAAGCCUGAUGAAAUCAAUAAGUUCAGAUAAAACUUUUAAUGAAUUCUUUUAAUCAAUCGCCAUGGAUUAUCUAUAUACAGGUAGUGACUAGCAUUUGAGAUCAGUUCUAACCUAGACCUAACCCAGACCUAGAAUACAGAAAGACAAAAGUUUUCAGUCAGUUCGAUCGAGUAACAGUUAUGUAAUAAACUAAAGAUACUCUAAUGAAUUUAUUUUGGUGAUGCAUAAAGCGAUCCUUGAUGUGGGAAUAUAUGGCGGAACAAGUAAACCAAAAACGUCGCCCUAGUUAGUUAAACGAGGGUCGCUAGUCACUCUAGUUGCCUGGUAGCACUGCCUGCUUACUUAUCGAUAGAAUAACACGUAAGAAAGCGAUCGAUUGAAGCGCACGAAAUUGUUCGUGCCUUCGCGUUCUACGGACAGUAUAGAAUAGUGAACUCGGCAAAAAACGUUUACAUUCGGAAUCGAUCGGCGCACUCAUGCCCACUACCAUGAAUAAUGGACAGAUAUCGAGAUAUUUUCUCUAAUCCUUUUGAUGAAAAAUUAGAAACACUUUUUAAAUCAUUUAUAAACUGUGAAUAUUUAUGUAAAUUUAGAUUUUUAUCAAAAUGAUUAAAAAAAUGAAACCUAAAUAGGAACUUCUUUCAUCUAGUAAAUCUGAGAACACUUUUGGAUAUUUUAAACUUUUUCAUAUUACGUGCAUUCUGCAAAUUUUGUAUUUUUUCUUUUCUUAGUUUUCUAUAAAUGUACGAACAUCCACAAACUCAUAUAUUUUUAUAACAUAUAUAUAAAAUACUAUUUAGAAUCGAUGUUGUUACUUCUUAAAUUUUGUUUAUCAUACGAAUGAUAUAUAACAUGUUCGACUAUAUAAAAUAUAAGCAACCAAGUCAAUAUCUGUAUUAUCUGUUCUUUUUCAUUUAAAGCAGUAGAUAUUGAUCUCGCGAUAAAGAAAAUUUUGUGAAUAAAAAGAAUCGAUUCUGGUAUAAGAUAAAUUUGAAUUUCAUAUAAAUUCUUUUUCUCUUUUUUCUAGCAAUAAAAUGAUUCACGGACCACAGAAAAUUAUUUUAGAAAUAUGUUCCAUGGAGUUUGAAGUUUGCAUGCCGUUGUUACCGUUGCAUUAUUCUAUGGUACAUCU